GAUAAAGCAGAGGAUAGCCGGUGAAGGUCUCGAUCAGGCCGCUGUCGUAGCCUUCCGGAGCUGCGAAAACGCAAAGGGCGAAGAUAUUCAUGAGGAACUCGCCCUGGUGUCUGACGCUAUUGAGUACAGGGAUUUUGUGGAUGCCGCUCGUGACCUCGCUCGCAUACGUGCCUGGCAGGCCUCUCGCAUACUCGACGGGGAAAA
rnacentral:misc_RNA from 1 species